UUCGGCAGCUUGGAUGAUUUCUCUUGGCUGUCCGUAUGAUCUUCUCAAUACCGUUACCAAUACAUUCCUCCAAAUAAGAUUGUCGCGUUUCAGAAAGCUUUUAGUCUUUUCGACAAGGUGCGAUCUUUCCAAUACAUUAUACUUCAUGAUUAUGGUUAUGUGAUUAUUUAUGGAUUCACAGUAUAUAUUAUUAUGGUGUGGUUCAUAAUUUUCAUGAUUAAGUAUAAUGGUGUGGUGUGCUUGUAUCUAUUAGUGUAUGUGUUGUUUUGUAUCAUAUUUUGUCAUUUCUUGAUCAAUUUUGCCUAAUUCGGAGGAGAUUGGGUAUUUGUAAUCAUUUUUAUAUCAUAUGAUUAGUUACAUUUUUGAGUUUUGGAUUCGCAUUUUCGAUUUUAGUUUUCGCUAGUGUCCAUGAUGAAUGUUUGUGUUUUUCCGGUUCUUGCACGGUGACGGUGGAGGUGGUGUAAUGGUGCUUAAUUAGCGCGUGUUUUGAUAUUAGAUUAUUCUGAUUGACUUAUUUUGUUGCAUGAUUUUAGUUUAGAUUUGAAAAUUUGGAAUUUAUUUGAUUUUAAUAGUAGUAAAUGUAGGUCUUAAUUUUAGUUUUUGUGAAUGGCAAGUUGACUAUUUUAAUUUAUUUGGUUUUAAAAUUUGAAUUUUCUCUUCAUACUUUAAUUUGAACUUUUAUGUAGUAAUUAGAAGAUUAAUUAAAAGAUUCAAAUUUUGAAUCUUAUAAAUGAAUGCAUUUAAAUAUAUUUGUACCAUUUAUGGGUUAUUUGAAUUUUGAAUCUUGUAAAUGAAUGCAUUUUAAUAUAUAUACCAUUUUGGUGGCCGAGGGUGACGACGGCGACGGUAGUUCCGGGAUCAGCAUGCGAUCCGGUUUCAAAAAGGAAGGCGCUUCACUGUGCCUUAAUGAAGGCGUUAAUUGUGCCUCUUUAUUGAGGGUGUAAUUUGUGCUCCAUAAUUGAUGGAGUUAAAUGUGCCUUAUUUGAGGUGUUAAUUGGCCUUAAUUGAGGACGUUAAUUGUGUCUUAAUUAAGGGCGUUAAUAUUUUAUUAAUUGUACCUUAAUUAAGAGCUUAAUUGUCUCAAUUAUGAGUUAUCAUAAUUGUGGGAAUUUUUUGAUCAUCUCAUGCAAUAUACACGUGAUUUUAAUAUUAAUUAAUUAUUGGAUAUAUUAUCUUUUAUUUUUAUAAUAUAUAU
rnacentral:lncRNA from 1 species